rnacentral:rRNA from 1 species
UACGAAGGGGGCUAGCGUUGUUCGGAAUCACUGGGCGUAAAGCGCACGUAGGCGGACUUUCAAGUCAGGGGUGAAAUCCCGGGGCUCAACCUCGGAACUGCCUUUGAUACUGUUGGUCUCGAGCCCGGAAGAGGUGGGUGGAAUUCCUAGUGUAGAGGUGAAAUUCGUAGAUAUUAGGAAGAACACCAGUGGCGAAGGCGGCCCACUGGUCCAGUACUGACACUCAAGUGCGAAAGCGUGGGGAGCAAACAGG